rnacentral:rRNA from 1 species
GGCGUGCCUUUUGCAUAAUGAGCCUACGAGUUACCGUUGCUAGCGAGGUUAAACACUUCAGGUGUGGAGCCGUAGCGAAAGCGAGUCUGAAUAGGGCGCUAUAGUUAGUAGUGGUAGACGCGAAACCGUGUGAUCUACCCAUGGGCAGGUUGAAGCUGUGGUAACACACAGUGGAGGACCGAACCGGUUGACGUUGAAAAGUCUUGGGAUGACCUGUGGGUAGGGGUGAAAGGCCAAUCAAACUCGGAAAUAGCUCGUACUCCCCGAAAUGCAUUUAGGUGCAGCGUAUUAAUAGUUUUAUAGAGGUAGAGCUACUGAUUGGAUGCGGGGGCUUCACCGCCUACCAAUUCCUGACAAACUCCGAAUGCUAUAAAAUGUUUUAAUGCAGUGAGGGCAUGGGUGCUAAGGUCCAUGUCCGAGAGGGAAAGAACCCGGACCAUCAGCUAAGGUCCCCAAAUAUAUACUAAGUUGAAUAAACGAGGUUUGACUGCCUAGACAGCUAGGAUGUUGGCUUGGAAGCAGCCAUUCAUUUAAAGAGUGCGUAACAGCUCACUAGUCGAGCGGUCGAGCAUGGAUAAUAAUCGGGCAUAAGUAUAUUACCGAAGCUAUGGACUCCAAUGGAGUGGUAGGGGAGCAUUCUAUUUGCGCAGAAUGUGGUCUGCGAGGACUGCUGGAGCGGAUAGAAAAGAAAAUGUAGGCAUAAGUAACGAUAAUGCGGGCGAGAAACCCGCACACCGAAAGACUAAGGUUUCCUCAGCUAUGCUAAUCAGCUGAGGGUUAGUCGGGACCUAACGCGAACCCGAAAGGGGUAGUGGAUGGACAAGCAGUUAAUAUUCUGCUACCUGCUCACGUUAAAAGUGACGGAGGCGAAAAGUUAGUGCGCACUGACGGAAUAGUGCGUUGAAGAGAGUGGUAACACCUCGAUAGUACAGUAAGGCUACGGCCGCGCUGAUAAUCUAGCAAAUCGACUUCCAAGAAAACCGAGUGAAGCAGCCCGUACCGUAAACCGACACAGGUAGUUGGGAUGAGAAUUCUAAGGUGCUCGAGAGAUUCAUGGCUAAGGAACUAGGCAAAAUCGACCUGUAACUUCGGGAGAAAGGUCGCCCAUCUUCGGAUGGGCCGCAGUGAAAAGGUCCAGGCGACUGUUUAUCAAAAACAUAGGGCUUUGCUAAAUCGAAAGAUGAUGUAUAAGGCCUGACACCUGCCCGGUGCUGGAAGGUUAAGAGGAGGGUUUAGCUUCGGCGAAGAUCUGAAUUGAAGCCCCAGUAAACGGCGGCCGUAACAAUAACGGUCCUAAGGUAGCGAAAU